GACGAACGCUGGCGGCGUGCUUAACACAUGCAAGUCGAACGAAGAGCGACGGAAGCUUGCUUCUAUCAAUCUUAGUGGCGAACGGGUGAGUAACGCGUAAUCAACCUGCCCUUCAGAGGGGGACAACAGUUGGAAACGACUGCUAAUACCGCAUACGAUCUAACCUCGGCAUCGAGGAUAGAUGAAAGGUGGCCUCUACAUGUAAGCUAUCACUGAAGGAGGGGAUUGCGUCUGAUUAGCUAGUUGGAGGGGUAACGGCCCACCAAGGCGAUGAUCAGUAGCCGGUCUGAGAGGAUGAACGGCCACAUUGGGACUGAGACACGGCCCAGACUCCUACGGGAGGCAGCAGUGGGGAAUCUUCCGCAAUGGACGAAAGUCUGACGGAGCAACGCCGCGUGAGUGAUGACGGCCUUCGGGUUGUAAAGCUCUGUUAAUCGGGACGAAAGGCCUUCUUGCGAAUAGUGAGAAGGAUUGACGGUACCGGAAUAGACAGCCACGGCUAACUACGUG
rnacentral:rRNA from 1 species